rnacentral:misc_RNA from 1 species
GAUGAAGAACGCAGCGAAAUGCGAUAAGUAAUGUGAAUUGCAGAAUUCAGUGAAUCAUCGAAUCUUUGAACGCACAUUGCGCCCCCUGGUAUUCCGGGGGGCAUGCCUGUCCGAGCGUCAUUACAACCCUCAAGCUCAGCUUGGUAUUGGGCCCCGCCGACCCGGCGGGCCCUAAAGUCAGUGGCGGUGCCGUCCGGCUCCGAGCGUAGUAAUUCUUCUCGCUCUGGAGGUCCGGUCGUGUGCUCGCCAGCAACCCCCAAUUUUUUCAGGUUGACCUCGGAUCAGGUAGGGAUACCCGCUGAACUUAAGCAUAUCAAUAAGCGGAGGA